UACAGAGGUCCCAAGCGUUGUUCGGAUUCACUGGGCGUAAAGGGUGCGUAGGCGGUUGGGUAAGUCUGUCGUGAAAUCUCCGAGCCCAACUCGGAAACUGCGUCGGAUACUAUUCAACUCGAGGAAUGGAGGGGAGACUGGAAUUCUCGGUGUAGCAGUGAAAUGCGUAGAUUUCGAGAGGAACGCUCGCAGCGAAAGCGAAGCUCUGGUCAGAUUCUGACGCUGAGGCACGAAGGCUAGGGGAGCGAACGGG
rnacentral:rRNA from 1 species